AUGAUGAUACUUCUGCCUGGCCAGCAUCACUGCAUUGGGGGCAGCCCGCUCGGAUGAGGGGGGGAGCUUUGAUAAAGAAGCUAUGU
rfam:Paenibacillus dendritiformis C454 PDENDC1000117, whole genome shotgun sequence.